GAACUGUUUUCAUGCCCUCACACUGAAAACUGCAUCAGGAUGUUGCUGAUAACUCUGAUUCUCUUGUUGGGUUUUCUGAGUCAGGAGUCUUCUGCCAACAACUUUCUGACUCAGACUGACAAAUCCAAGUCUGUGAGUCUUGGAGGGACUGUGACCAUCAGCGCCACAGGGAGUUCAGAUAUUGAUGAUGAUCUCAGUUGGUACCUUCAGAAACCUGGACAGGCUCCCAAACUUCUUAUAUACCGAGUAUCAACUCUGAACUCUGGAGUUCCGUCUCGAUUCAGUGGCAGCAGGUCUGGUUCUAGCUACACUAACCAUCAGAGGAGUUCAGGCUGAAGAUGUUGGAGAUUACUACUGUCUGGGCUACCAUGGUGAUUAUACGUUCACACAGUGAUUUAGAGCCGUACAAAAACCUCCUUCAGUUUGACUGAAGUGCUGCAGGUGCAGAGUGUUGGUGGAGAGACUGUGAUGAGAGUAACUGGUCCAAUGAACACAGCAGUCAUCAAGCAGAACCACAAUAAGUCGAAAUAAAGCUGAAACCUUUCCAUACACAGUUAUAUUCU